UUCUUUCUAUGUUUCCUCCUCCACCCCUUUCUAUUUUUUGAUAUGUCUUUUGAUUUAAAAUUCCAAACCUUUUCAUCAUUAAAGUGACUUAGAUUUUGAAGACCAGGAAUCACUAAAAUAAGCAACAAGCAAAGCAGCUGUGCCAUCUCAAGGAUACUCAGAGAAAGCCUUGGCUUUCAUGUUAUAGGAAAAAGUAGGAGUCCUUAUUUCAACUAAUAACAAUUGUAGCUUUUGUGACUCAUCUAGCUGAAGAAGAUUCUGCUCCUGAGGGAAAGCUGACAUAGUCGAGGGCGACAUAAUUCAUGGUGACAUCACUCUUCAAGGUGGUUCCAUGAGAAAGUAGUAACAAGGAGAGUUUCAUUGACUGACACAUUUAGAGAAUUUUUCGCCAUCUCUGUCCAUUAAUACAGGGUCGAAGAACUGCUGGAAACUGCAGUUUCCAUCUCUCAACAAAUGAUCAAAACACAGGAACCACCCACUCCCAGUGUUGGACGGGGGGUGUGCAAGGAGAGGGGAGGUGGAAGAAUGAGAGGCUAACAUCACUGAAAUCAAAACGGCAGAUUUUCUCACUGGGUCCAAUUUGACACCCAGCUUUUCAGUUCUUCUAAAAUCCUGGUAGUUCUUGGCUGGUGAUCACUGGAUAAGAUCAUAAAGAUAAAAUGAGGCUCCUCAUUUCCUGGGAAUAAU
rnacentral:lncRNA from 1 species